CCUACGUGGGGCAGCAGUGGGGAAUAUUGCGCCAUGGGCGAAAGCCUGACGCAGCGACGCCGCGUGAGGGAUGAAGGUCUUCGGAUCGUAAACCUCUGUCAGCAGGGAAGAACGGUCACUGUGCUAAUCAUCAGUGAAUUGACGGUACCUGCAAAGGAAGCACCGGCUAACUCCGUGCCAGCAGCCGCGGUAAUACGGAGGGGGCGUGCGUUAAUCGGAAUUACUGGGCGUAAAGCGCUCGUAGGCGGUAUGUCAAGUCAAGGGGGAAAUCCCCGCGCUCAACGUGGGAAGUGCCGUUGAAACGGGCAGCAUGGAGAGUGCGAGAGGAUAGGGGAA
rnacentral:rRNA from 1 species